rnacentral:rRNA from 1 species
GGCGGGCCUAACACAUGCAAGUCGAGGGGUAGAAAGUGCUUGCACUUUUGAGACCGGCGCACGGGUGAGUAACGCGUAUGCAAUCUACCUUAUACAGGGGAAUAGCCCAGGGAAACUUGGAUUAAUGCCCCAUAGUAUUAGAGAACGGCAUUGUUCUUUAAUUAAAGAUUUAUCGGUAUAAGAUGAGCAUGCGUACCAUUAGCUAGUUGGUGUGGUAACGGCACACCAAGGCUACGAUGGUUAGGGGCCCUGAGAGGGGGAUCCCCCACACUGGUACUGAGACACGGACCAGACUCCUACGGGAGGCAGCAGUGAGGAAUAUUGGACAAUGGGCGAGAGCCUGAUCCAGCCAUGCCGCGUGCAGGAAGACGGCCCUAUGGGUUGUAAACUGCUUUUUUACGGGAAGAAACACCUCUACGUGUAGAGGCUUGACGGUACCGUACGAAUAAGGACCGGCUAACUCCGUGCCAGCAGCCGCGGUAAUACGGAGGGUCCGAGCGUUAUCCGGAAUCAUUGGGUUUAAAGGGUCCGUAGGCGGGCAACUAAGUCAGUGGUGAAAUUCUGCAGCUCAACUGUAGAACUGCCAUUGAUACUGGUUGUCUUGAAUCGUUGUGAAGUGGCUAGAAUAUGUAGUGUAGCGGUGAAAUGCUUAGAUAUUACAUAGAAUACCGAUUGCGAAGGCAGGUCACUAACAACGUAUUGACGCUGAUGGACGAAAGCGUGGGGAGCGAACAGGAUUAGAUACCCUGGUAGUCCACGCCGUAAACGAUGGAUACUAGCUGUCCGGUGCACAUUGGUGUGCUGGGUGGCCAAGCGAAAGUGAUAAGUAUCCCACCUGGGGAGUACGUUCGCAAGAAUGAAACUCAAAGGAAUUGACGGGGGCCCGCACAAGCGGUGGAGCAUGUGGUUUAAUUCGAUGAUACGCGAGGAACCUUACCAGGGCUUAAAUGUAGUCUGACAGGCGUGGAAACAUGCUUUUCUUCGGACAGAUUACAAGGUGCUGCAUGGUUGUCGUCAGCUCGUGCCGUGAGGUGUCAAGUUAAGUCCUAUAACGAGCGCAACCUCUGUUGUUAGUUGCCAGCGAGUCAUGUCGGCAACUCUAACA